AUGUGUAACACACGAUACUUGGGCAGGCAGGACACCAGGCCUGCGGUCAAAAGGCCCAAGUUCAUGGUCAUGUCCUUGCCGGGACCCUCUAGCCGUGUGACCACAGGUGAUGCACCGCAUCAGCCCCCAGCUGACUCAGCUACAAAGCAGACAACAGCGCUCCCUUGCAGCAGGCCAUCAAGGUCAGAGGCUGCGCAGAGGCACAGUGCCGGGGUGACUGGCACGGCCUCUACUCCAACACCACCCCGACACCCAGAGCGUGUGUCCAUACCCAGUGCCCCGGGCUGGGGGAAGAAGUCCACCCCUCCGAGGCCGACUCUACGGCCUUCCCUGCCUCCCACACCCCGCCGCUCUGGGCUGGGGCAGAGGCAGCCAGGCCGGCUCUCAGGCACCACGAGCGACUCUCGAGGGACCAAGCCCACGCUCAGGCCCAGGAGAACAAAGAACAGACCGGCGCUCACGUCAGCCCGGGAGAGGGAGGAGGGGCUGCCACAGUCGCGGGGACGGCGAUCCAGGCGGAGACAGCGGCCCAGCAGCAGGACCCCCGGCGCCCCCGCCCCCGCAGGUCAGGGGAGGGAAGAGCUGGCAGCUUUCCGAGACGGGUUUUUAAGAGCUGUGAUCCGAGCACGGAAGAUGGCCCACCUCAUCUGCGUUAGGCGGACCGUCCAGGGAGUUACCUACAUGCUCCCCGCUGUGGAAACUCCAGAGCGCCCACCCCCUCCCUACAGGACACCCCCGAGGCCCCAUCCGGCUCUCCAGGAACCGGACUACUCCAGGUCACGCCAGCCAAGCCCAGGACGGGGCAGACCUGAGGGGCAGGCUCGCUCAGGAAGCACCAGGGCCAUAUCGCUCAGCCGGAACCCAAAUGCUGGCCAGGCCUCGGAGGUGGGGUCUCAGGAUGAGGGCCCGCCCACAGGGGAGCUCCUAACAGACUCUGGAAGGCGGCGCAACCCGGGAAGAGUUCCUUACCAGCGGCUGGCGCGGCGUCAGGCAGGGUCUUGGCAACCCCCCCCCCACUUCCGGGUCUCUUGGAGCAGGUGCCACGCGGAGCCGCGGGUCCCACCCCCAGGGCAGCACUGCACGAGCAAGGCCGUGUAUCUCAGAGAACCCCGUUCUCCCGAGGCUGGUGGCAACCCUGUGCCUGAGACCUGA
rnacentral:lncRNA from 1 species